AUUGAACGCUGGCGGCAGGCCUAACACAUGCAAGUCGAGCGGAUGAAGAGAGCUUGCUCUCUGAUUCAGCGGCGGACGGGUGAGUAAUGCCUAGGAAUCUGCCUGGUAGUGGGGGAAAACGUUUCGAAGGGAACGCUAAUACCGCAUACGUCCUACGGGAGAAAGUGGGGGAUCUUCGGACCUCACGCUAUCAGAUGAGCCUAGGUACGAUUAGCUAGUUGGUGAGGUAAAGGCUCACCAAAGCGACGAUCGUUAACUGGUCUGAGAGGAUGUUCAGUCACACUGGAACUGAGACACGUCCCAGACUCCUACGGGAGGCAGCAGUGGGGAAUAUUGGACAAUGGGCGAAUGCCUGAUCCAGCCAUGCCGCGUGUGUGAAGAAGGUCUUCGGAUUGUAAAGCACUUUAAGUUGGGAGGAAGGGCAGUAAGUUAAUACCUUGCUGUUUUGACGUUACCGACAGAAUAAGCACCGGCUAACUUCGUGCCAGCAGCCGCCGUAACAC
rnacentral:rRNA from 1 species